UAAGAGAGUUUGAUCCUGGCUCAGGGUGAACGCUAGUAAUAUGCUUUACACAUGCGAGUUGUGCGAUUUUUUGUCGCAGCGAACGGGUGAGGAAUACGCAAAACAAUUUACCUUUUAAUUUAAGAUAAAUUAUAUCUAUAAUAAAUUUUGUUUGUUUAUAGAGUGAAACUAAUUUGUUAGUUUGUAAUAAUAUUAAAUAUAUAAAGAUAGUUUAACAAUCGUUAAAAGAUAAGUUUGUGUAAGAUUAGGUAGUUGGUAGAAAUAAUAGUUUACCAAGCCUUUGAUCUUUAGUUGGUCUGAGAGGACGUACAACCACACUGGAACUGAGACAAGGUCCAGGCUAAUUUUUUGGCCAGCAGUGAGGAAUAUUGGACAAUGAACGAAAGUUUGAUCCAGCAAUAUUACAUGAAUGAUUGACGGCUAAUUUUUGGUUGUAAAUUUCUUUCGUUAAAAAUGAUAAUGACAUUAUUUAAAGAAGUUUAAGUCCCGGCUAAUCUCGUGCCAGCAGCCGCGGUAAUACGGGAGGGGCAAGCGUUACCCAAAAUUACUGGGCGUAAAGAGUCCGUAGAUUGUAUAAUAAGUUAUAUGUUAAAUUUUAAAGCUCAACUUUAAAAAAACAUACAAUACUGUUUUACUUGAGUUUUAUACAGAAGAGUAGAAUUUCAUGUUAAGGAGUAAAUUCCAAGAAUACCUGAAGGAAUAUCAUUAGCGAAAGCGACUCUUUAGUACAAACUGACGUUGAGGGACGAAAGUGUAGGUAGCAAACAGGAUUAGAUACCCUGGUAGUCUACACUGUAAAUUCUGAAUGCUGUAAUUUAAAAUUUAAAUUUUAGAUUUUUUAAGCUAACGCCAUAAGCAUUCCGCCUGAGGAGUAUGAUCGCAAGAUUGGAACUCAAAGGAAUUGACGGGAGCCUACAACGAGUGGUGGAGCAUGUGGUUUAAUGCGAUAAUCCGCGCAAAACCUUACCAACCUUUGAUAUAUUGAAAAACAAUUUAAACUAUUAAAAAUUUUGUUAACAUUGAUAUUAAAAUUGAUAAAUUUUCUUUACAGGUGUUGCACGACUGUCGUCAGUUCGUGUCGUGAGAUGUUUGGUUUAUUCCUUUAAACGAACGUAACUCUUAUUUUUAAAAAUUCACUUUUAAUUUUUAUUAAAAAUUUUGCUUUAAAAAGACCGAAUGUAUACGUAAAAAAGGAAGGUGAGAACUAAGUCAAGUCACUGUGGCCCUUAUAGGUUGGGCUACACACGUGCUACAAUGGGAAUGACAAAAAGUAACAAAAAUGAAAGUAUUUAGUUAAUCUUUAAAAGUUUUCUUAGUUCGAAUUGUAAACUGCAACUCGUUUACAUGAAGAUGGAAUCACAAGUAAUCGCAAAUCAGAACGUUGCGGUGAAUACGUACCUUGGCUUUGUACACACCGCCCGUCACAUGCAGAAAGUUAAUUUUACUUGAAAAUUACAUUUUUAUUUUUGUUUAAUAGAAAAUAAUAAAGUUGUAGUUCAUUGAAAAGUUAACAAUUUGGAUGAAGUCGUAACAAGGUAGCUGUACGGGAACGUGUAGCUGGAACAUU
rnacentral:rRNA from 1 species